ensembl:lncRNA
CACAUUCCCAUUGAAGCAGCGCUGUGUUGUGAGGCCUGUUAUUUUUACCCAGCGUGCACCUGGACGGGCCCUAGACCUGCUCUAGCCUGCCUUUCCUCCACUGCACAGCACCCUCAGGUGUUUCUUUAAAGCCUGUCAUCUUCAUUCUCUCCGCCUCUCAUUGCCUUUCCCUCGACGCACAAUCGCAGCAGCUGCAGACGCCUUUAAUUGAUCAUCAAACUAACCACAGGAAGGAAGCAAAUUUGUAGAAACCGUUGCGGUACGAGCCCCCAGUCCUGCUUUUCUCCUCUUUCAGUGAACAAUUUCAACAGUCCCAACAAGGUCAAAUUUAAGUCAGCUCGCAAAUCGUUUCGGUUGAUUGCCUACAUUUGCUUCAGUAGUAGGGAGAAGGUCAGCUACCUGAACCCAUAAAGAAGAGAUAUGCCAACCCAGACAGCGUCAUCGCGGUUCCUGUUAUGAGCCUGGAGCGGAGGAGAUGAGAGGAGAG